rnacentral:rRNA from 1 species
AACGUAGGACGCGAACGUUAUCCGGAAUUACUGGGCGUAAAGCGCGCGCAGGUGGGUGAACAAGUCAUGCGUGAAAGCUCCCGGCUAAACUGGGAGAGGUCGGAUGAUACUGUUCGUCUAGAGUAUGUUAGAGGCGUGUGGAAUUCCGCGUGUAGUGGUGAAAUGCGUAGAGAUGCGGAGGAACACCAGUGGCGAAGGCGGCACGCUGGGACAUUACUGACACUGAGGCGCGAAAGCAUGGGUAGCGAACGGGAUUAGAUACCCCGGUAGUCC